rnacentral:rRNA from 1 species
UACGAAGGGUGCAAGCGUUCCUCGGACUUACUGGGCGUAAAGGGUGCGUAGGUGGUUUGUUAAGUCUGCUGUGAAAUCCCCGGGCUCAACCUGGGAAUGGCAGUGGAUACUGGCAAGCUAGAGUGCGGUAGAGGGUAGUGGAAUUCCCGGUGUAGCAGUGAAAUGCGUAGAGAUCGGGAGGAACACCAGUGGCGAAGGCGGCUACCUGGACCAGCACUGACACUGAAGCACGAAAGCGUGGGGAGCAAACAGG